GAGGUGGGAGGAUUACUUGAGAGCUCAGGAGUUUGAGACUACAGUGAGCUGUGAUCAUACCACUGCACUCCAGCCUGGGUGACAGAGUGAGACCUUGUCUCA
ensembl:miRNA